GGACCCUUAGCUCAGUUGGCUAGAGCGUUCCCUUGACGUGGGAAAGGUCAUCAGUUCGAGUCUGAUAGGGUCCA
rnacentral:tRNA from 1 species